UUGGUUUUGUGGGGGCUAAAAAAAUAAAUAAACUAAAGCCCUUCCCCUCCCCCCUCUCUAUCUCUCUACCUGCUCCGCACCCUCUCCCGCCACCUCCGCCGCGAGGUGUGGCGGCCGCUCCCCUCGAGCAGCGGCCGCUCCUCGGACUGGGAGCUGCCGCGGCAGUUCACGUACGUGCCCGCGAACGGCCGCGGCCUCUAUGACCUCGCGGUGGUCUCGGACCUCGUGGAGAGCUAGCGGCCGCAGCCCCAGCGCAGCGAGCGCCCCAAGGGGGCGGACGCCUUGGAGUGCGCGGACUGCGAGAGGCUGUUGGCGUAGCGGCCGCCGGAGCUCGUGGAGCAGCUCCGCCCCGAGCCCAGCGACGCGCUGGAGCUGGAGUCGUUGUUAGCGUAGGUUCUACACCUGCUGGAGCGCGGCGAGCGGGCGGAGGCGGAGCAGAGCGAGCUGGAGAUGCUCACGGGGCAGUGCGCCCAGUUCCUGAUGUCUAGGUCCCACAAGCCCAACUAGGCCUGAGAGUUCAUGGAGCUGUUCUACCUGCGGCUGCUCUUGCUCGCGGGCCUCAGCCUGCUGCUGCUGCUGCUGCCCCUGCCGCUUCCACUACCGCUCCUUCUUCUACUACUACUGCUGCUGCUACUGCUCCUAGGACCUUCGCCGCUCCACCGUUUGCCCCCGCGGAGCGUGAGCGCUCCAUCGCAGCGUGGCGCGGGCCACCUCCACUUACCCCACUAGCUACACCUACUCCUACUCUCGCUCCGGCUGCUCCAGCACGGGUUACCCCCUCGGCUCGUGGUGGUGUCCCGGUUGCCCAAGUCCCAACGUCGCCAACCCCAUCGGGGACUACUCCUACUACUUCUGCACCUCCUACUGCUGCUGCUACGUCUGCUUCUCAUACUCCUCCUCCUCCUAAACCCUCUCCUCUAGCUACUCCUCCCACUACUUCUACUGUGACAACAGCUCCAUGAACUGCACGGGUCAUCACUACUACUCCUCCUACCGUAGCUACUCCUACUACUACUACUCCUCCUCCAACUCCUACUACCACUACCACUCCUCCGACUCGGUCUCUCAUCACCCUCCCAACGAUACCGCCACCCCCCGCAACCUCUUCUCUAGCUACCUGUACUCGUUCCACUUCCACUACUACUCCUACUCUUACCACUCUAACCUCUCCUUCUGCUCCUUUCUAACCUCCUAUCAUCCCAAAUACUCCUCCUGUUGCUACUACUGCUACGACUACUACUCCUACUUCUGUGUCUUAUAGAACAAGUUGGUUAACACUGCGGGGUUCGGUACCGACAACCUUCAGGUCCCCUGAAACUAUAGCGACUGGGCCUACUACAGCUACUUCUGUCUCUACUCCAGCUACUACUACUGCUGCUCCCACCGUUUCUGGUCGGCAGCAGGAGCGUCCCAUAGUUCGCCUUCUCCCUACUACUGGGUAGUCCGUCGCCGUCGCUGCUACUCCUACUACUAUGACUACUGGCCGGCAAGUUCGUGGUCACUGGUAACAUGUACCUAGUAGGGGAAGGAGUGGGGAAGAGUCCAUCUUUCUUCAUUGGUCCUCGUCGUCGUAGUCGUCGUUUUGUCUUUACUAGGGACGCGCGUUGCCGGCGCUAUUCCUUCCUCCCCUGUCGGUCCUGUCCGUCCGCUGGUGCGCUACGGGCACUCGGCACACCAGCAAGCACCACCCCUCGACGUCCUAGCCUGCCGUGCCUUACCUUUCGCCAACACACGCGAACGGAGCGAACUCGACGCCGCACCUCGCCCGGGUGCCCGGUGGCUCAAAACGCGCCCAGAGCAGGCGCAUGCACCCGGCCCGGAUCUCCGAUCUCCGGCGUGGUGCAACCCUGAACCCUUCAGUUUCAUCAAACCGGCCCGAAAGAGUUUUUUUUUUCUUCUUCUUCUCUUCAUGAGGGAGGCAAGGAUGAUGAGGCAUACAUCAUAAAAUUCUGUAAAGUGUACUUGUUGUUGUAUACUACAUACAUCUGUAUAAAAUUUCACAUCUAAGUGAGUAAAACGAGGCAUACAUCAGUGAACAACCUUAGAGAUCUUUCUGAAUAUAAACCCUUGCCUCCCUCAUCAAACCGGCCCAACGCCCACGCCCUGGGACCGCGGUGCCACUUUCACCUUCUCCUCUCUCGUUACCCUUUGGUGAACUACAACACGGCAC
rnacentral:rRNA from 1 species